UCGAGAAUCUUCGGCAAUGGGCGCAAGCCUGACCGAGCGACGCCGCGUGGAGGAUGAAGGCCUUCGGGUUGUAAACUCCUGUCGAGGGGGAAGAAGGGUCGAAAGACCUUGACUGAUCCCUGGAGGAAGCACGGGCUAAGUUCGUGCCAGCAGCCGCGGUAAGACGAACCGUGCGAACGUUAUUCGGAAUCACUGGGCUUAAAGCGCGUGUAGGCGGGACGGCACGUCGGUCGCUGAAAUCCCCCGGCUUAACCGGGGAACUGGCGUCGAUACGACCGCCCUGGAGGGGCGUAGGGGGACCUGGAACUUCCGGUGGAGCGGUGAAAUGCGUUGAGAUCGGAAGGAACGCCCGUGGCGAAAGCGAGGUCCUGGACGCCUACUGACGCUGAGACGCGAAAGCCAGGGGAGCGAACG
rnacentral:rRNA from 1 species